UCUCCGUUGGUGAACCAGCGGAGGGGUCAUUACCGAGUUAUACAACUCCCAAACCCAUGUGAACUUACCUGUCGUUGCUUCGGCGGACCGCCCCGGGGCCCAUCGGCCGCGGAUCCACGGCGCCCGCCAGGGGCUCGAAAGACUCUUGUCUUUUUCUACGCAGACUUCUGAGUUGCAUUUAUUACAAAUAAAUCAAAACUUUCAACAACGGAUCUCUUGGUUCUG
rnacentral:misc_RNA from 1 species